rnacentral:tRNA from 1 species
CGCAGGGUAGUGCAAAGGCAGAAUGAAGGGGUUCAUAUCCCCUAGAUGCGGGUUCGAGUCCCGCCCCUGCAACCA